rnacentral:rRNA from 1 species
GAUGAACGCUGGCGGCGUGCUUAACACAUGCAAGUCGAACGGAAAGGCCCAAGCUUGCUUGGGUACUCGAGUGGCGAACGGGUGAGUAACACGUGGGUGAUCUGCCCUGCACUUCGGGAUAAGCCUGGGAAACUGGGUCUAAUACCGGAUAGGACCACAUUUUGGAUGGUGUGGUGGAAAGUUUUUCGGUGUGGGAUGAGCUCGCGGCCUAUCAGCUUGUUGGUGGGGUAAUGGACUACCAAGGCGUCGACGGGUAGCCGGCCUGAGAGGGUGUACGGCCACAUUGGGACUGAGAUACGGCACAGACUCCUACGGGAGGCAGAAGUGGGGAAUAUUGCACAAUGGGCGCAAGCCUGAUGCAGCGACGCCGCGUGGGGGAUGACGGCCUUCGGGUUGUAAACUCCUUUCGCUAGGGACGAAGCGUUAUGUGACGGUACCUGGAGAAGAAGCACCGGCUAACCACGUG